UGAUUGAGUGCUUCAGAUUUUACAGUCUCGACUGGAACACUUCCUUUUCCAUUAAAAGGAUGUUCCAAAAGGGUUCUCCAGGUGUUUCAUCCUUGAAAGAUGAUUCUGACCAGUAUCAUCACAUUCUUCAAAGGUAGGUUACUGGCCUCCACCAGAAGUUCCAAGCUCGAAGCACCAGGUUCCUAGUGUUCUUCCAAGUGUUUGCUGCCAUGAUGUUCACAAGGCAGUAGAUUUGAUCGUCAAGACUUGGGUUGCUUCUGUAGCCAGGGCUGUUCAUACACUCUGUUGAUUUGUUCUCAAACUAAAUGUGUUUAUUGUGGGGCAGGAG